rnacentral:lncRNA from 10 species
CAUCUUUCUCUCUAUUUUGCACUAAACUGUGAUGUUUGCUCCCCUCCGAUCCACAAUAGACUCUGAAUCUCUUGAGAUCAAGGGCUGUGUUUCAUGAACAUCCUCAAAGUGCCUGAAAUUUAGUGCAGGUUGUUGAUAUUCGAUGAACAUUGCUGAAUGAAUGAGAAUACAAACAAGAGUGCAGCAAUACAAAAUUCAGAUCCUAGUGAAUGACGACAACACCAAGUCAGGCUAGUUCAACAAUGGCAUGUCUAAACACCCAGCUGACCUUCCUGGGUAAGUGUAACUUUCAGGUCUUCUGUUUAAAUAAGUUCUUCCUAGUUGUCCAUCUUCCUUUCCUUCCUGCUGGUUGGACAUAGUGGCGAUGGAGCUACUGUAGAAGCCGCAGUGAAGAAUGGCAGAACCACCAUUGUAGCCUGGGACUCUGGAUGACUUUACAGAGCAAAACCUGACUACCUACUCUGGACUGUUAAGUGAAAGAGAAAUAAACUUAUGUCUUGUUUAGUCACUGAACUUUAGAGUCUAUUUGUUAACCAUCAUCCCAACCAAUAUACCCUGAAA